CUCCUGGAGCUAAUAAGUAUAGCAGGGUUGCAGGAUACAGGGUUAAUAUAUAAAAGUCAAUUGCUUUCCUAUGCACCAGCAAUAAACAAAUGGAACUUAAAAACAAUACCAUUUAUAUUACCACCCCUAAAAAUAAAAUACGUAAGUAUAAAUCUAACAAAAUGUGUGCAAGAUCCGUACGAAGAAAACUAUAAAACUGUGAUGAAAGAAAGAACUACAUAAAUGCAGAGAUAGUCCAUGUUCAUGGAUAGGAAGAGUCAAUAUUAUCAAGAUGUCAAUUCUUCCCAAAUUGAUCUAUAGAUUCAAUGCAAUCCAAAUCAAAAUCUCAGCAAGUUUUCUUGUGGAUAUUGACAAACUGAUUCUAAAGUUUAUAUGGAGAAGCAAGAGACCCAAGAUAGCCAACACAGUACUGAAGAAGAACAAAAUCGAAGGACUGAUAUUACCUGACUUCAUGACUUACUUACAGAGCUACAAUAAUCAAGACAAAAUAGACAACAGGCAGAAAUAAAUGGAACAUAAAUGAGAUCCCAAAAUAGACCCACAUAAAUAUAAUUAGCUGAUCUUUGAUGAAGAAGGAAAGGCAAUACAGUGGAGCAAAGAUGGUAUUUUCAACAAAUGGUGUCAGAACACCUGGACAUCGAUAUGCAAAUAAGUUGAAUCUAGACACAGACCUUACACCCUUUACAAAAAUUAACUCAAAAUGGGUCAUAGAACUAAGUGUAAAACAUAAAACUAUAAAACUCUUAGAAGAUAACAUAGGAGGGGUGCCUGGGUGGCUUAGCUAAGCGUCUGACUUUAGCUCAGGUCACGAUCUCAUGGUUCAUGGGUUUGAGUCCCAUGGGGCUCUGUGCAGAUAGCUCAGAGCUACUUCGGAUUCUGUAUCUCCCUCUCUCUCCGCCCCUCCCAUGCUCCCACUGUCUCUUUCAGAUAAACAUUUUUUAAAAAAGGAGAAGAAAGUAGAAGAAAGAAGGAGGAGGAGAAGGAGGAAGGAGUGAGGAAGCAAGAAGAAGAAGAAAGGAGGAGGAGGAGAAGGAGGAAGGAAGGAAGGAAAAGGAGAGGGAGAAGAAGAAAACAUAGGAGUAAACCUAAAUGACUUUGAGUUUGGUGAUGACUUUUUAGAUCACCAGAGACACAACCCAUGAAAGAAAGAAUUGAUAAGUUGCAAAUUAAAUUUUCUGCUCUAUGAGCGACACUGUCAAGAAAAUUAAAAGGCAUGCCACAGACUGGGAGAAAAUAUGUGCAAAAUGCAUAUCUGAUAAAAGACUAUUCUCCAAAAUACUCAAAGAACUCUUAAAAUUCAAGAAUAAGAAAACAACCAAUUUAAAAUUGGGCCAAAGACUUUACCAGGUAGAUCACCAAAAAGAUAUACAGUUGGAAAAUAAGCAUAUGAAAAGAUGCUUCAUAUCAUAUGUCAUCAGGGAAAUGCAAAUGAAAACAACAAGGUAUCCUCACAUACCGUUAGAAUGGCCAAAAUCUAGAUCACUGACACCACCAAAUGCUGAUGAGGAUGUGGAGCAACAGGAACUCUUCUUUGUUGCUGGUGAGAAUGCAACAUGAUGCAGCCACUUUGGAAAUCAGUUUGGCAGUUUCUUAGAAAAGUAAACAUACUCUUACCAUAUAACUCAACAGUCAUGCUCCUUGGUAUUUACUCAAAGGACUCAAAUACUAUGGCCAAUAAUAAUCUGAACAUGGAUAUUUAUAGUAGCUCUAUUCAUAAUUGCCAAAAUUUGGAAGUAAUCAAGAUGUCUUUCAGUAGGUGAAUGGAUAAAUAAACUGUGGUACAUCCAAACAAUGGAAUAUUAUUCAACACUAAAAAGAAAUGAGCUGUGAAGCCAUCAAAAGUCAUGGAGGAAACAAAUGCAUAUUAAUCAAUGAAAGAAGAAUCAUAUACUACACACUAUGUAGUUCCAACUAUAUGAUGUUCUGGAAAAGGUAACAAUGUGAGGACAGUAGAUAUUAAUGGUUGCUAGGGUUUAGUGAGCAGAGAGGUUUUCCAGGGCAAUGAAACUAUUCUGUAGGAUACUAUAAUGAUGGAUACAUGUCAUUUACACCUGUCAAAACUCAUAGAAUGCACAACACCAAGGAUGAAACCUAAUGAACACUAUGGAUUUUAAGUGAUGCUGAUGUAUCAAUGUAGUUUUAUCAGUUUGUAACAAAUGUACCACUCUGAUGGGGGUGUUAAUAAUGAGGGGGCCUGUGCUUUUAUGAAGGCAAGUAAUUUUAUGGGAAAUCUGUGUAUCUUCUGCUCAGUUUUGCUAUGAACCCAACAUGACUAAGUCGGUUGUUAAAAAAACAAACAAACAAAAAGUACUUCGGGGAGGUUUUAUUUUUCAUAAGAGUCUUCUGCUUUCACUACAUGUGAAUCUGAGUGUGUCAGUAAGGCCUCUACAGGAUUUGAAAGGCAUUCCUAAAAGUUUAUUGUCAGGGAAGCAUGCUGACAUUGGAAGCCUUGAACCAAGAAUUGGUAAGGUUCUGGUUGAAUAAUUGUGUAGAUUCCAUAAGCAUAGGAUUACUCUUUAUGUGUGCAUGUUUGGAAGAAUUACAAAAUACGAAUAGUGCUCCAUGUGAAGAGUCAUAUGCUAGAGCAGUUAGUUAUAAAACUUGACAUGUAAGAAUUACCUGGGGAUCUGUUAAAACUCCAAAGGCUCAAGCUAUAUACACCUCAUAACAAUUAGAAUCUAGAGAGGUGGGACUGGGGCACCAGUAAUUUUUAAAAAUUUUUUAAAGUUUAUUUUUUUAGUAGUCUCUACACCUAGUGUGGGACUUUGAAAUCACAAUCCCGAGAUCAAGAGUUAGAUGUUCUUCCAACUGAGCCAGCCAAGCACCCCAGCACUGGUCAUUUUUAAAGCCCACCAGGGAGUUUCAGUGUGCAGCAAAGUUUGAGAACCAGAGUUCUAAAGGAAGUGUUUAAUUUUAUUCCAUCUCCAUAUGAAGAUAAGUUCAUUAAUAAUAAUUCCCAAAGGCCCUGGUCUGUUAGUACUUUGCAGGUGUGGAAGAUGUUGGAGGUGUUGGAAGGAUACUUGUUAAUAAUAAUUUUUUAAUUUUUAUUUUGAGAGAGAGUGCACAAGUAAAUGCAUAUAUGAGCGGGGGAGGGACAGAGAGAGAAUCCCAAGCAGGCUCCGUGUUGUCAGUGCAAUGCCCAACGUGGGGCUCAAUCCCACGAACUGUGAGAUCAUGACCUGAGCCAAAAUCAAGAGUCGGAUACUUAACCGACUGAGCCACCCAGGUGCCCCAAUAGCAAUAAUAAUCAAUAAAACUUAUUAAAUGCAAAAUAAAAUCCAUAAGCCUCAAAGAGUUAAUGCAGUUUCCAAAGGUGUUUGACAGAAAAGAAACAGUCUAGGCACAGGGAGAAUCUGGCUUAUUGGGAGCAAAUGAAGCCAAGAUUUUAAAAUGUCUUUUAAUGUGAAACACGUAUGUGCCCCUGGGCCUGAAAACAAGCCACAACCUUCCCAGUUGUGGUGAAGGUUCCUAACAAUAGAAAUGAGUUGCGGUACAAUGUUAUUUAAACUGAAAAGUUCUGAGGAGAAUUUUGAUUUGUAGAGGAGGUCACAGAUGGGAGAAGACAAGUGCAGAGGGAGAGGCUAUUUUUCUAUGACUCAGAUUCUGAUUACAAAGAGAGCAGAUUUAGCUGCUAGUUCUCAUUAUCUGUGUAUGCAGAAGAGAACCAAACAAGCCUAACAAAAUGAAAAUUGAUAUUUAAUCACAAAGCUAGAAGGUACCUUAUUAAAUUGACCUGCUUUGGUAUUGAGAUAAUUAGUUGUGGUUUUAAGUGUCCUUAUGGAAGCACUCUCAUUCAUGGUGGUGUGGGCUUCUGUUUGCUUCUUGCUUAAGGGACAUCAGUUCUUCAAUAGAACUCUGUCAAACAUUCUGAUGCUACAUGGGCUGUGUGGUUUUUGUUUUAAAUUUGUAUUUUAAAAUAAUCAUAGAUUCAUAGGAAAUUGCAAAAAAAAAAAAAAUGUGCAGGGAAUUCCUUAUGCAUCCUUCACCAAGUCUUCCCCUAUGGUAAUGUCAUAUAGAGUUAUGUCUCAAAACCGAGAAAUUGACAUUGGAAUACUCCACAGAGCUUAUUCUGAUUUACCAACACUCAUGUGUAUGCGUGUGUGUGUCUGUGCAUCUGUGUGGUUCUACGCAAUGUCAUCCUGUAUAGUUUCAUGUAACACCACUGUGAUCAAGACACAGUGUUCCACGUGGGGUUUGAAGAACUGUAAAGGGAUUCAGAAUGAGUCACUUUGCUUGUGGUCCCACCAGCUUGAGUUCAGGACUUUUUAUUUUGGGGGACUGCUGCUUUGUGGGGAUAGGUAGCAUAGCUUUUGCAACAUAAAGUGACUUUUCUUAUGUGAUCAUCAUUAAAGGUGUGUUUCUCAAGGACUAUGUUUUGAGGAAGAAAAUCAUGGUCACUUUAUGUGAAGGAAGUGAAAUGGUAAAUUUGUACCCCAAAACAUAAAAUCUGUUAGUGGUCUUUAUUUUGGGGGCAAGUCCACCGAUUCUGGCAUAACAACAAUGGACUCAAUCCUAGAAAAGUUCCUCUUCUGCCAAGUUUUAGAACAUUUGAGGCUUGUUCAAUAAAUGGUGCAACUUUCUAGUUCCUGAAACAGAAGACUGUCGAUCCCCCAGAGAAAUGCCCUGGUAUGUUUGAAGUGAAUAGGUAUGAUUCUACAAUAAAGAAAUGGAAAGUCACUUAAUAGCAUCUUCUAAGCAUUGUCAACAUAUUAAAAUCCGCCUCACUUAUGUUUUAUAGGUAAUUGCUGUCUCCAGAACUUAAGGAUACAUAAUCCUAUCUACUAUUUACAUGGCGUGAGGAUUUUAAUUGUCUCUGCACCUAGUAUAUCAAAACUAAGGUGCUUAGGAAUGAAGGAUCUGAGUCUUUCCCUGCGGAGACAGCCCUGAAGAACUCCUGUAACGUCAAGCUGGCGAUUUCCAAGAAGCAAUCCGGGACCUACAUUCCCAAAGAGACCCACAAGAAAGAAAAGACAUGAGGCUCUGAAGCACCGACACCAUGUAGAUCUCAGUGCUGCCUGUUCCUGGGGUGGGCUGAUAAGAGCAUCCCUGCUCUCCCGGCCCUCGACUUCUGCAGCCCUCAGAAUCCCCUGCUCUCUCAUCAAAUACAAACUUUAAAACGAUGGUACCCAUGAGACAGCCCUGGGAAAAAGCAUAUUAGGGACACUCCUUAUGGAGGAGAAGCUGAUUCUACUAAUGGUGCGUUUUCAGUAAAUGAGAAACGGACUCUGAUCGAAAUUAAAUCUGUGGUUCAACGAAGGUUUUUAGUAUUCUCUUCCUUAGUGCCUAAUGUGGAAAGGUAUGCGCCCAAGUUUACAACUGUUUUCCUCAUCCCACCAUCCUUUGGGGUUGGAUCCAAAAGACUUGGAACCAUUCCUGCUUCCCAAGUCAAGCACCAGGUUGAGGGGGACUCAGUAUGUUCCAGGCCCUGACACAGACUGGCAUCAUAAAUGACGGGGAGUCCCACAAGUCCUCCAAACCCAGUCUGGCCCAGGGCUUGCCACCACCACAUGCCAGAUGGCCACCCCACAUGCAAAGAUGUGGCAGCACCACCCUCUCCACACACCCUGACCCCACGGGCCUCAGAAAGGAGGCUCAGGUUCUGACAGAACAUCUGGUGAAUACCAGCAUUCUUCCCCUUUGUUGGAAGUAUUAGAGUCACGUGAGAGGGGUAAGGCGAGGGAAGGGUGGUCCGUGACCUGCAGAACAGAAUGCCCCCCCAGCAGAGCUGUUCGCCGCACACAAGGAAAUGCGUGUCUAGAUUAGGAGUACUCACCGGUGACAUCUAGGCCACUUGCUCACCCUUUACACCUUACCCUCUAAGGUGCCACCAGUGUGCCUUCACAGAGGUCCCCAAAGGACCCAGAAACUGGAGUACUGCUUAUUCAUUAUUUCCAGAGAGAGAGAGGAUCUGAGGUGACUUGUCGUGAAAGGCCCACAAAUAAAACUGAUCAAGUGAGAAUAAAGAAUGAAAUGAUGAAAUGAACAAAAAUUGUCGUAAAGAUAACGGAGGCCAAGUCUGGGUGCGGCAACAGCGUAGCAUGUAGUCGGAUGCCUCCUGACACUACGGGGAGAAGUUCCACAAGUUACGGCCAGUUGUAAUUACAGAGUAUCAACUCUCAAAUGGCACAACACCCGGCUGGCUUCUGCUUCCGUUUCAGAUGAAAACUGGCUGUACAUUCAGCUUGUGAUAUCUACGUGUUGCCUAAAAGAUGUUGAAUCUCAUCUGUGUGGGUGAUACAGAGAUUGGCCCUAGGCUGCCCUGGCUCUCGGUGAUUUGCGGACAGACACGGAAGGAGGUCUUCUCGAAAACUCAAUCACAAAGGGAAGGCACUCAUCAGACCUCAAGGGACCCAUAGUCUGGUUCCAACUGUCAGAGCUUGAUUUUCCUUACCUCAAAGUCAUUUCCUUUGUUAUAGUGCAUAUUGAGAGCUCGAAAAAGUUCUGAGUCUCGGAGUACCACCAGCAUUUUGGGAUUUGUGACACCAUCUGAAAUCGCUUGCCGGGCAGAUUUUUCCAUUUGGAUGUAAUAAAACUCACGAAAGUUGCUGAACCACUUGAUCAUCUGGGAGGUAAUGCAGCGGUUGAACUGUACAAACAACAGGGCCCAUCAGGUCGGAUGUUUGCCAUGAGGUGCUCAGAGCCAGAACUCUCAGCCUCCAUUUCAACAUAGGGCUUAAUAAGGAUGGCUUCAGCCACCAUGAGAAAGGGCUUUCUUUAAAAAAGAAGUCACAGCCGUUUUCCUAGCCUUUUCACUUGUACACAGAAAAAUCCAAAUUAGCUAUAAUGCCGAUUAGAAAAUACUGUUUUGAUGUACUUACUAUAUUUAUGACUUUUUUACCCACGAAAAGAUUUCCAUGGUGUCUACUGUGACUUUGGGAGGGUUUCGGGUCAAAGCCAGUGUGGUACCAGCUUCUGCUGCACCUGGGCAGGUGGCACAGCAGCCCCAGAGCUCUCUGCCGAGUCAAGGGCAAAAGGAAGGGAUAAGGGUAUAGAGCAGAGAGCAGGCCAUUGCAACCUUGGAGUUGCAGAAUGAAUCGAAAUCAGAGCUUGGUGCAGGAGUCAACCAAGCAACCGAAUAUGAGGGAAAGAUCUGGAAAACACAAAGAAGUAGAUUCAAAGUAUUAGCUGCCCUCUCCCAACACCCAGGGUAAGGGAACAGGCAUAGUCUGGUUCCAGCUGUCAGAGCUUGAUUUUCCUUAUCAUCAUGCUUGAUGUCUACAUACCUUCAUUCAGUGUUGAAAUACAGCAAUUUGAAUAUAAAUGUGACAAUGUCCAACCCUUUACGUAUUCUAUCUUUUUCAUAGUCUUCCCCAGCAGAGAUAAAACACUAGGCCAAAAAUGCCAUUUACUUAUGUUUCUCUCUCCCCUCCACCCUUCCUCCCCAUGGGUUUGUAUACCUACAGGUCAAAAGCUUAAAAUUCAGAUACCCAACCUUUGUGGCCCAAAGUUAUUCAUACAGAGUCUCAGCCCAGAACUGGGAAUUGUACCGAUCCCAUCAGCAACAUGAAGGGGACCUGAGGUGCACAUAAGAUGACCUAGGACUUGCCUCCCACUGGGCAAAACCAUUCCCUCUUGGGAGUUUUUCAGAGGCUUUCAGAGGUGAAGAAUGACUUUACCUGGACAUCAGGGAAAUAAGCCUUCAGCAGGUUGGAGCUGGGGUAGCGUGUGAAGAAAAACAUGAGUUUGGCCUUCUUCAAGUGACCAGGAUUUAGGCCCUCCUGGAUUUAUCUCAGCGUCAAGGAAAACUAACACCGCUUUAUCACGUGAUUUUUAUCCGUUAAUCCAAAUAAUGACUUGUCCUGUUCCUGACGGUUUCUUUUUUUCUUUUGUUUCAUUUUUUCUGGGCGAAUGGUGUAUUAGUUCCAUUCUUCUGUCUGAUCAGAUAAGCUCUUUCUUAGGGCGCCUGGCUGGAUCAGUCGGUAAAACCAGUGACUCCUGAUCUCGGGGUUGUGAAUUCAAGUCCCACACUGGACCUAGAGCUUACUUAAAAACUAAGAAAAAAGCUUUUGCUUUCCAGAUGCUCAAUACCAUAUAUGUACCGUAAAUUUGCAGAAUUCAAAAAACAUUUUGAGUGUGAAAGUUCUACAGCCUUUAUGACAUCAAAUACAGUUUGUUGUACUUUGUGUGUGUGCUUUCAGAACAGGAUGGGGAAAGAUGGCAGGUCUGUCCCAGAUUUCAAAGCCCCACGUAGAGAUUUCAUUCCCCUUCUGGGCCUCAGUUUCUUCAUCUGUAAAAUGAGACAAGCCCACUAGAUGGUCCCCAUUCUAUUCGCAGAGCUCCCUUUGCAGUGUUUAAGCCAAUGAACACCUAACCUGCCUGAGUACAAGAGCACAGUUGGCUCCAGCUCAGGAAGCUUGAACUUCUCGGCUGUGUCUGCUCCUCAUUUGCCUGGCAGAGCUUCCCUCACCCUUCCCAGUUCAGCCCAGACACCCUUCCUCUGUGAAAUAUUUCCUUGCUGAAUGAGGCCUUCCUUACCCUGGGCUAUCAAGGCUUUUUGUACAAACCUCUGUUGUAGCAAUGACCUCCCUGGAAUUUUUACUGCAUGUUUGUCUCCCCAUUUAGACUGUGAGCUCCUUGAGGGCAAGGACCUUAUCUUUUCAUCUUUGUAUUCCACAUGCCUAGCCCGGUGCUAGGAACAUAGUAGGUGCUCAAUAAAUGUUGGUUGGAUGAAGGAA